GAUGAACGCUGGCGGCGUGCCUAAUACAUGCAAGUCGAGCGAACAGAUGAGGAGCUUGCUCCUCUGACGUUAGCGGCGGACGGGUGAGUAACACGUGGAUAACCUACCUAUAAGACUGGGAUAACUUCGGGAAACCGGAGCUAAUACCGGAUAAUAUAUUGAACCGCAUGGUUCAAUAGUGAAAGACGGUUUUGCUGUCACUUAUAGAUGGAUCCGCGCCGCAUUAGCUAGUUGGUAAGGUAACGGCUUACCAAGGCGACGAUGCGUAGCCGACCUGAGAGGGUGAUCGGCCACACUGGAACUGAGACGCGGUCCAGACUCCUACGGGAGGCAGCAGUAGGGAAUCUUCCGCAAUGGGCGAGAGCCUGACGGAGCAGCGCCGCGUGAGUGAUGAAGGUCUUCGGAUCGUAAAACUCUGUUAUUGGGGAAGAACAAAUGUGUAAGUAACUAUGCACGUCUUGACGGUACCUAGUCAGAAAGCCACGGCUAACUACGUG
rnacentral:rRNA from 1 species